rnacentral:rRNA from 1 species
GACGAACGCUGGCGGCGUGCUUAACACAUGCAAGUCGAACGAAGAGCGAUGGAAGCUUGCUUCUAUCAAUCUUAGUGGCGAACGGGUGAGUAACGCGUAAUCAACCUGCCCUUCAGAGGGGGACAACAGUUGGAAACGACUGCUAAUACCGCAUACGAUCUGACCUCGGCAUCGAGGAUAGAUGAAAGGUGGCCUCUAUUUAUAAGCUAUCACUGAAGGAGGGGAUUGCGUCUGAUUAGCUAGUUGGAGGGGUAACGGCCCACCAAGGCGAUGAUCAGUAGCCGGUCUGAGAGGAUGAACGGCCACAUUGGGACUGAGACACGGCCCAGGCUCCUACGGGAGGCAGCAGUGGGGAAUCUUCCGCGAUGGACGAGAGUCUGACGGAGCAACGCCGCGUGAGUGAUGACGGCCUUCGGGUUGUAAAGCUCUGUUAAUCGGGACGAGAGGCCUUCUUGCGAAUAGUUAGAAGGAUGA